GCUGCUUUCUCUGCCUGUUCAGAUCUAGGAAGGCAAUAUACUGAGGAUAGUUCCUCUUCUAGUGCCCCCGCUUCUUGCAAAAGAAGCAUUCAGCUUGACUCUUAUCGGACUUGAUCUUUUUGGUCUAGCCCUGCACUGAUGUCCCAGCCUGAACUUGUACCUUCUUCACUUUCUUCUUCUUGUUCUUCUUUCCUUUCUUAAAGGGUCAAGAAUCAGAAGACGAACCUCCCACUAAGUUCACC
rnacentral:lncRNA from 1 species